UACAGAGGGUGCAAGCGUUGUUCGGAAUCAUUGGGCGUAAAGGGCGCGUAGGCGGCCUUGUGAGUCGGAUGUGAAAGCCCAGGGCUCAACCUUGGAAGUGCAUCCGAAACUGCAGGGCUCGAAUAUCGGAGAGGGUGGUGGAAUUCCCAGUGUAGAGGUGAAAUUCGUAGAUAUUGGGAGGAACACCGGUGGCGAAGGCGACCACCUGGACGAAGAUUGACGCUGAGGCGCGAAAGCGUGGGGAGCAAACAGG
rnacentral:rRNA from 1 species